ACAAUGGAUCUGAGGACAGUUCUGCUGUUAGCAAUCUGCUGGGCAGAUGUUAAAGCCCAAACUUUAACAGAAUCUGAACCAGUGGUUAAACGACCUGGAGAGUCCCACACACUGACCUGUACAGUCUCUGGAUUCACACUCAGCAGCUACUACAUGUCCUGGAUCAGACAGGCUCCUGGAAAAGGUCUGGAAUGGAUUGCGUGGCAUGAUAGCAGCAGUGGUAGCAGGAGGUUCUACUCUCAGUCAGUUCAGAGCCGGUUCACCAUCUCCAGAGACGACAGCAGACAGAUGCUGAAACUUCAGAUGAACGGUCUGAAAACAGAAGAUUCUGCUGUUUAUUAUUGUGCUCGAGAGCCACAGUGACUGAAGCCGCCUGAGCAGCUGGACAAAAACCCACAGAAG